ACCCAUACAGCGACUAUGAUCUGGGCAUUGGAGAUGAUAGAGCAACUAUCGGGUGGGCUUAGAAUCUAUCGUCAGAAAUGGAGUUAUAUCACUUGUAGGAUACAAUUUCGCUUCCCUCUUUCCUUGCCACCCACUGGAUCUGCCCGAAAGGCGACUUCCCAGGUUUGUCCCAUCUCUAAUAUGGCGGCUCUCUCCCCAGUGCAUUCAAUCAGCGUACAACGGCAUUUUGAGAGCAGCGCCAGAGGCAGCGACGCAGCAGCGAUAGCAACAGCGGUCAACCACACUCGCAGUGUUUGAGGAAGCGAGCCUAGAGCGAAAGAGAGAGAGAGGGAAGGAGAGAAGCAGCAGAGCAGAUCAGCAGCUGAACGAGAGACGACGAGCGUGUGAGUGCAAUUGCAGGUGUUUGGCCAAACAAUUGCUGUGGCACGCUUAUAUUCUCACUGGCCCCUGCCUUCCCGGCCUUCCCGGCCUCCCUCUUUCGCUCAAUCACCAUCACAAUCACACUUAACUGUCUCCCUCCCAUCUCACUAUCUCACCAUCACACUUUUCCCGCUCUCUCUCUCUCUCUCUCUCCCUCUCUGUCUAUCGGUAUUCGAGUGGUAUGUCUCUGUUAUGUUAUUAACAUGCUGUUAAUUUGAUUGAAAAAUGCUUUAUGGCAAUGCCCCGCGCCGCAGUCCCCCUCCCUCGCACCGCAUGCCUAUUUUAUACCCUGCCAGUGGGUUUAUUGGUGCCAACCAAAUGAGAACGAUCUCUCCCUUCAAAGAGGGUAUCGCAAGCUUCGAGCUCUCGCAAGGAUUUUAUUUCUUUCUAGUGGCCGUUUUGUGGGUUUGCCAUUUGUACGUUUUCGGACGAGUGAAAGUGAAAAUUACGAAAAUUAUACACAAAUCGAUGGCACCGCAGCAGCAGUGGCAGCAUCGGGUAGUAUAACGGCACAGAAAAAUGGAUGAAAAUUCAUCAAAGAAAAGAAAAUUGGAUGGCAACGAUCCGAGUGGUGGUGUCCAGAGCAAGACAACAACAAACAAACAAACAAACAAACAAACAACCAGUGCCAGCUGUUUGACUGCUGCUGCUGCUGCUGCUGCUGCUGCUGCACAUGCACCCAAACUGUGGCAACUGUUGCAAGUUCAACUCUAACAGAAGUGCACCACAUUCUUUGGACUAUGCUGCUGCUUCUGCCACUUCCUCAAUGUGUGUGUUUGUGUGUGUGUCAAACUAGACAAGUUCUACUUUCCACAACUAGUUCUUGUUGUGGUUUUUCCUUGUGGCAAGCCUCAGAGCGUCUCCCAGGUUCUUGGCACACGAAUCCGCUGCCGGUAAUUGGGGACACCUGCAUGUGCCAAAUUCUGGUUUUCCAGUUUUCCCCCCAGCAGGAAAACCCGUUCCAAAUGGAUUCUCAAAGAUUCGGGAAGCAUCAGGCCUCUGUGUGUAUCUGUGUGUGUGUGUGCCCCAUUUCUGUGGCACCUAAAGCCGUAGAUAAGUAAAGUUCUGGGACUGGGUCAGAAGGAUCAACAGAACUUAAGAACCUUUAAACGACUCGCAGUUUUUUGGAGAAUAUUUUAUACAUUUUAUGUACAUAUAUAGGAACCUCUACAGCGAUCCAUUCAGUAGAUGUUUUGAUUGAAAUCCGUGAAUGAAAGCACACACCACACACCCAACCACCACCCACUGUGCCUGGCACUCUUUUGCGCAGUUUUUCCGACUGUUUGCCAGCGGGAGACAGAAACAGAAACAGAAACAGCGGCAGCAGCUGUUUGCCCCCAUCCCAUCCUCUCAAGCAAGUGCCAUAUCGGUAAACAGAUUAUUUAGUUUGUUUUUCUGCUAUUUCUGUUGCUUUUUCUGUUUCUGGUGCUGUUUCUGUUUCUGUUUCUGCGGCUUAUCAAUUCGACCCUCGGACAUGAUUUACUUCACUGCCAGUGCUUUUUUACAUACACAAAAAUUGAGCAAUUAAAUGUUGCAAAAUA